rnacentral:rRNA from 1 species
GCGAUUCGCCCUUCGGGGUGCAGCAGGCGCGAAAACUCCACACUGUACGACAGUACGAUGGGGUUAUCUCGAGUGCAGUCCGAUAAGGGCUGCUUUUCCAUAGAGUAAUAUCCUGUGGGAAUAAGAGGGGGGCAAGACUGGUGUCAGCCGCCGCGGUAACACCAGCCCCUCGAGUGGUGGGGACUAUUAUUUGGUCUAAAGCGUCCGUAGCUGGCUGUAUCCGUCCCCCGUUAAAUCCAGCGUCCUAAACGUUGGACUGCGGGUGAUACCAUACAGCUAGAGGGUGGGAUAGGUGAGCGGUAUUUCUGGGGUAGGGGCGAAAUCCUUUGAUCCCAGGAGGACCACCAGUGGCGAAGGCUGCUCACUAGAACACGCCUGACGGUCAGGGACGAAAGCUGGGGCAGCGAACCGGAUUAGAUACCCGGGUAGUCCCAGCUGUAAACGAUGCUANGCUAGGUGUUGGGUCGGCCACGCGCCGCCCCAGUGCCGCAGGGAAGCCGUUAAGCUAGCCACCUGGGGAGUACGGCCGCAAGGCUGAAACUUAAAGGAAUUGGCGGGGGAGCAC